CUUGACUUAAUUUAUUUUUCAUCCUUUUUUAAUUUCAACAAUUAGAAAAAAUAGAGUAAAUUAAAUCGAAGAGAUUAAGAUUAAUCUGCAUUGAAAGGAUAGAUAUUAGGAUUGCUCUCUCUUGUUGCACGAAAAGUUGAAAAUAUUUUGUACAAUUUAUCAUCGUGUACAAUAGUUGCUGCACAUGGAUGUCAUAUAACUUCAAUACUGGUGUAGAAAACAAUUGUUUUCUGCGUGAGAAUCAGAAAAUAAUAUGGUCCCCAUGUUCUCAACAAGACACAAUGGAUUGUGGAUACUGAAAAUUACUUGACAAAUUAAUUGACGAUUAAUUGAAAUUUGAUAGAAAUCACUUUAAACAUAAUAAUAAAGAAAGAAAAAAAUAAGGGAGAGAACGAGACUGGAACAAAUAAGUGAAAAUCACGAU